rnacentral:tRNA from 1 species
GGAGGAUUAGCCUCAGCUGGGAGAGCACCUGCCUUACAAGCAGGGGGUCGGCGGUUCGAUCCCGUCAUCCUCCACCA